rnacentral:rRNA from 1 species
UGGGGAAUAUUGCACAAUGGGGGAAACCCUGAUGCAGCAACGCCGCGUGAAGGAAGACGGUUUUCGGAUUGUAAACUUCUAUCAAUAGGGACGAAGAAAGUGACGGUACCUAAAUAAGAAGCCCCGGCUAACUACGUGCCAGCAGCCGCGGUAAUACGUAGGGGGCAAGCGUUAUCCGGAAUUACUGGGUGUAAAGGGUGAGUAGGCGGCAUGACAAGUAAGAUGUGAAAGCCCGUGGCUUAACCACGGGAUUGCAUUUUAAACUGUUGAGCUAGAGUACAGGAGAGGAAAGUGGAAUUCCCAGUGUAGCGGUGAAAUGCGUAGAUAUUGGGAAGAACACCAGUGGCGAAGGCGGCUUUCUGGACUGAAACUGACGCUGAGGCACGAAAGCGUGGGGAGCAAACA